UACGGAGGGUGCGAGCGUUAAUCGGAAUUACUGGGCGUAAAGGGUGCGUAGGUGGUUUGAUAAGUUAUCUGUGAAAGCCCUGGGCUCAACCUGGGAAGGCCAGAUAAGACUGUUAGACUAGAGUAUGGGAGAGGGUAGUGGAAUUUCCGGUGUAGCGGUGAAAUGCGUAGAGAUCGGAAGGAACACCAGUGGCGAAGGCGGCUACCUGGCCUGAUACUGACACUGAAGCACGAAAGCGUGGGGAGCAAACAGG
rnacentral:rRNA from 1 species